AGUCCCGAAACAAAUCGGGACUAUAUAUGCUACUCAAACUGGCUGGUCGUUUGUUCAAUCGGUUCGUUUGCCAGAGACGCGACCCAGUAUUUUUGUUCUGUAUCUAUGGACGAGACCCAGUCGUUCGUUCUAAAUGUUCCAUUGCCAUACUAGCUGGCAAAGUUAUUAUCCUUUGCCUUCUAGCUAGCCAACUACGGAAUAACAGCAAAGUAGCUACAUUUGCAUUUGUUUACGCUGUUUUGUGGAGACAUCCAUAACAAUGAGUUAAUGAGGCGCGAUUUCGUCUCAGAAAAUGUGCUCAUUUGUCAGGACACCGUUAUUUAGAGCAACUGAAGCUGGAAAGACUGCAAACUAGCUGCACUUCGUUUCGUUUGACCUUUUUUCAAUUUACAUUUCUUUGUAUAUAUAUCCAUAAAAAUGAAGCCCGCUGUUUCAUGAUUUCGACCGGCUGAGAAACGCUGCCUGCCUGCCUGUCUUCUCCCAACUCGUCCAUUACAAUGGGACGGCUGGAGAUCGAAUUUGAAUAUUGAAACAAUUUGGCAAAUGUCGGCGAGACAGACCGCAAGGUUUAUACAAAUCAUACUGUUUAAAACUAAAUGUUAGAUAAUGUCUAGAUGCUUUUUAUAGUGGAGAUCAAGUUUAUAAAUUGCUUGGCUGGGCUGAUGAGCCAGUGGAUUGUGCAGUCAGAUGGAACAGAGUAAAUAGGCAUUUUUAACUUCAUAGAUUAGCCAGUGGUAAAUUGUGGAAUAGACACCAUCUGAAAUACGGAUUUAACCAAUCUGCAUUCAGGAUUAAACCCACCCGUAGCUAGAGAAUAGUUGGAAAUUAACGAUACAUGACUGUAAUCCAUUUAUUUUCCCUAGAUUACUACUCCUGCUGCAAAGUUUCAGUGCAUAUGCAGAGCAGUUGAAGUUUGGACAGAAAGAAAACAUGAAGCAAACAGCUCCAUGUGUAUCAAUUGGCCUUGUAGUUGUUCACUAUUGGAAUAACGUUAUCCAGAUUGGCAACCAGAGUGAGUUUUUAAAGCACUCCUGGUGUUUAGUUUUUUUUUCUUCCCAUAAAAUGUAUAUUUUAUGACCAUGUUGUUCCCUCUUAUUCAGAGCAUGAAGCAAGAUAGUCAAGAAUUGAUCAAAACUCCAAAGUGUGAGGAAAACACCACUUUCUCUUUAGCAUCCUCACUCCUGACCACAAAAAGGGAUAUUUGUCCACAGUCUCCAUCUGUAGUGUCUCAGCACUGUACUUCAAGAACAACAGCAAGCACUCCAUUCCUCCACAGACGAUAGCAAAUGGCAGCCCCUCCUGUCCUACUCGCAGAACAGCAAGCAUCAUCCCCUCCUGCCUUUCCCCUAUAUCCACAGACACUCAUAAUGUAAGUUGCCAGACAGUAGAGUCCUCCCUUGUCCCCUGUGAUGCCUGUGCUCAGGUCCUGUCCAGCCUGAGGGAGACUGGUGAUGCUCUUGUGGAGCUGUGUCGGAGCGAGGGCCUUCCCACCUCUCUGCAGCGCCUCCUGGUGGCUGUGGAUGACACUAUGUAGCAGGGCCGUCUCACUGUAGGAGAUGUGUCCCAGUGGUCCACAGAGCAGCACAGGGACAUGGGUCAGGUGGGAAAGCAUCUGCUGAAGGUGCAGUCCACAGUGCAGGGCUCAGCUGGGGGAGGGAACAGGAGGAACUAAAGCGUGAAUGGGCAAAGGAUCAAGCAAGACUGUAGGAGGCCCAGGCAUCCAGGAAGGAGACAGAGAGGAGACUGCAGGACGAACAUGAGGAGCUGAGGCUCCAUGUCCCUGGAGGAUAGCAACUCCAAACUGAAGACAGAGAUUAGUUUGCAACAAAAAAGGUUACACAAACUCGAGUGUGAGAGAGAUAAGCUACAUCAGGAAGUGAAGGCCUUGCAGGUAGAGGAAGAGGCACGGAAUAAACAAGAGGAGAAGACACAAACACUGGAGGCUCAACUGUCCAGUACUCAGCUCUUACUUGACAAAGAGAACUCCAAGUACCAGAAUGCAUGUCACCAACAGGAGUCACUGCAGGCCAAGCAGAUGUCUCUAUUGGAGAGAGUGGAUGCUCUGGACCAGGAGUGUGAGGAGCUUCAAGGACAGUUGGGGGAGACUGAGGACACACAGACAGGCCUUCAGGAUAGACUGACACACAUCUCAGAGGAGAAGGACCAACUUAAAACCCAGCUCACCCAAGAACAGUCCCUGAGGCCUUGUGUUCUGAGCUGCAGCAGGAGAAGCAGAGAUUGGAGAGUCAUGUGAGCAAGCCGAAAGACAGUUUGGAUCAGCUGAGAGGAGAGGUGCAGGAGUUAGCACAGAGGGAGAGGCUGCUGGUGGCAUUCCCAGAGCUCAACCCACUGCCUCAGGGACCGCCACAGAACAACCUCUCUCAGCAGCUUUGGAUUCUCCCAGUGUGCCUGACGCUCCCAGAGAGAGACAGCUAAAUCCCACCCCCUACGUACAACACAGCCCUCUACAGACUUCCAGUGCAGGAGUGUUGAAACAUUGAUUGCGGAGGAAGGGAGCAGACAAAGGCGAUUCCAUCCCUGUGGUGAUGGGGCCUUGGGAUCACGUGUCUGCCACCUUCCUGUUCCCAAGAAAGCUAAGGUAACUGAGCUAAACGACUACCGCCCCGUAGCACUCACAUCCGUCAUCAUGAAGUGCUUUGAGAGACUAGUC